rnacentral:rRNA from 1 species
AGCAUGUGGUUAAUUCGAAGCAACGACGAAGAACCUUACCAGGUCUUGACAUCCCGAUGCUAUUUCUAGAGAUAGAAAGUUACUUCGGUACAUCGGUGACAGGUGGUGCAUGGUUGUCGUCAGCUCGUGUCGUGAGAUGUUGGGUUAAGUCCCGCAACGAGCGCAACCCCUAUUGUUAGUUGCCAUCAUUCAGUUGGGCACUCUAGCGAGACUGCCGGUAAUAAACCGGAGGAAGGUGGGGAUGACGUCAAAUCAUCAUGCCCCUUAUGACCUGGGCUACACACGUGCUACAAUGGUUGGUACAACGAGUUGCGAGUCGGUGACGGCGAGCUAAUCUCUUAAAGCCAAUCUCAGUUCGGAUUGUAGGCUGCAACUCGCCUACAUGAAGUCGGAAUCGCUAGUAAUCGCGGAUCAGCACGCCGCGGUGAAUACGUUCCCGGGCCUU